rnacentral:rRNA from 1 species
AUUCAUUAAUUAAAUUAUUUUAUUUUUUUUUAUUUUAUUUUAAUUAAAAUAUUUUUAAUAUUUAAAUUUUUAGUAUAUUUAUAAGAAAUAAAAAUUAUUUUUAUAAUGUUAGUAUUGUUAAAGAAAAAUUUAAAUAUUUAAUUUUUAAUAUAAUUAUUUAUACCUUUUGUAUCAGGGUUUAUUAAAUAAAUUAUUUUAUAAUAAUUUUCUCGAAAUAAAUUAAUUUAAUUAAUAAUUUUAAUUAAUAUAUAAUUAUUAUUAAAAAUUUUUAAUUAGAAGCUAUAUGUUUACAUAAUUUAAUAUCUAGUUAUUUUAUAAAUUAAUUUAAUUAAAAUUAAUUUUAUUUAUUUAAUAUUUAAAUUAAAUAAAUUAUUAUUUUUUAAAUUUUUAUUAAUUUAAAAAAUUAUGUUAAUUAAAUAAUAUUAGGAAUUAACUUAAUAUUAAUUUUAAUAUAUUUAUUAUAUUUUUAUUUUUAUAGAAUUAGAAAUUUUUUUUUAUAAAUAAUAUGUAAUAAUUAAAAAAUAUAAAUUAAAAUUUAUAUUUUUAUUUAUUGAAUUAUAAAAUAAUAAUUUUAAAUAAUUAAAUUUUAUUUAUAAUGAUAAAAUUAGUAAAAUAAAAUUUUUAAUUAAAUUAUUUAUAUAAAUUAAUUUAAGUAAUUAGGCAAAAUUUAUUAUUCACCUGUUUAUUAAAAACAUGGUUUUUUGAAAUUAAUUUAAAAUCUAAUCUGCUCAAUGAAUUAAAACUUUAAAUAGCUGCAGUAACCUAACUGUACAAAGGUAGCAUAAUCAUUUGUCUUUUUAUUAAGGUCUGGAAUGAAGGAUUGAAUGAAAUAAUAACUGUCUCAAAUUAAAUUUUUGAACUUAAUUUUUAGUAAAAAUUCUAAAAUUUUUAUAUAAGACGAGAAGACCCUAUAGAAUUUUAUUAAAUAUAUAUUAAUAAUAAUUUAAAUUAUAUAAUUUUUAUUAUAUAUUAAUUUAAUUGGGGAAAUUAAAAAAUUUAAUUAAAUUUUUAUUAAAUAAACAAUUUUAAUGAUUAAAUAAUCUUUUAAUAGAAAAUUAAAAAUAAAUUACCUUAGGGAUAACAGCAUAAUAUUUUUUGAAAGAUCUUAUUGAUAAAAAUUUUUAUGACCUCGAUGUUGAAUUAAGAUAAAUUUUUAAUGUAGAAAUUAAAAUAAUUAAGUCUGUUCGACUUUUAAAAUCUUACAUGAUUUGAGUUUAGAUCGGCGUGAGCCAGAUCGGAUUCUAUCUAUAUAAAUUUUAAAUACUUUUGUACGAAAGGACUUAGUAUUUUAAAUAAUUUAUUAUAAUAUUAAUAAUAUUAAUUUUUAAUUACUUUAAUAUAUUAGUAUAUUAAAUUUAGAAUUUAAG